rnacentral:rRNA from 1 species
AUUGAACGCUGGCGGCAGGCCUAACACAUGCAAGUCGAGCGGAUGAAGGGAGCUUGCUCCUGGAUUCAGCGGCGGACGGGUGAGUAAUGCCUAGGAAUCUGCCUGGUAGUGGGGGAUAACGUCCGGAAACGGGCGCUAAUACCGCAUACGUCCUGAGGGAGAAAGUGGGGGAUCUUCGGACCUCACGCUAUCAGAUGAGCCUAGGUCGGAUUAGCUAGUUGGUGGGGUAAAGGCCUACCAAGGCGACGAUCCGUAACUGGUCUGAGAGGAUGAUCAGUCACACUGGAACUGAGACACGGUCCAGACUCCUACGGGAGGCAGCAGUGGGAAUAUUGGACAAUGGGCGAAAGCCUGAUCCAGCCAUGCCGCGUGUGUGAAGAAGGUCUUCGGAUUGUAAGGCACUUUAAGUUGGGAGGAAGGGCAGUAAGUUAAUACCUUGCUGUUUUGACGUUACCAACAGAAUAAGCACCGGCUAACUUCGUG